UAUAGGAUUAUUAAGGAAGAACAAUGAUCAAUAAACAGAAGUUUACUAUGGCAACAUUGGUUGCAAUUCUUCUUUUCUCUAUAGGUAUGGCUAGAAUUCAACUUCAUUUAGAGAAAUGUUUUUACAGAUGUGACAAUAUCCCUAAUUGUAACACUUUCUGCAGUAACAACGGAUAUUUUGCAGGAUAUUGCAAUCCAAACAUUAUUAAUGUUUUAAUAUGUUGUUGUUACAAUGUAGAGAAUGAUAAAAUUGUAACUUAGAGUUUUUCUUCUUAUUUGAGAUUGAUAUUAUGUUUUAUAAAUAUAAAUAAGCUUCAUUAGAAGAACUUAAAAUA